CCGUCACCGAGGAAUCCCUAGUAAGCGCAAGUCAUCAGCUUGCGUUGAUUACGUCCCUGCCCUUUGUACACACCGCCCGUCGCUACUACCGAUUGAAUGGCUCAGUGAGACCUCCGGACUGGCCCAGAGAGGUGGGCAACUACCACUCAGGGCCGGAAAGUUGUUCAAACUCGGUCAUUUAGAGGAAGUAAAAGUCGUAACAAGGUCUCCGUUGGUGAACCAGCGGAGGGAUCAUUACCGAGUUAUUACUCCAAACCCUUUGUGAACCUUACCUAUGUUCUGUUGCCUCGGCGGGGAGGAAGACCCCUUAAAAAGGGCCCAGCCCCCGCCGGCAGCACCAAACUCUUGCAUUUAUAGCGGAUUACAUUUCUGAAUACAAUACAAAACAAAUCAAAACUUUCAACAA
rnacentral:rRNA from 1 species